rnacentral:rRNA from 1 species
AGCGAACGCUGGCGGCAGGCUUAACACAUGCAAGUCGAGCGGGCACUUUCGGGUGUCAGCGGCGGACGGGUGAGUAACGCGUGGGAACGUGCCCUCUGGUUCGGAAUAACUCAGGGAAACUUGAGCUAAUACCGGAUACGCCCUUUUGGGGAAAGGCUUGCUGCCGGAGGAUCGGCCCGCGUCUGAUUAGCUAGUUGGUGAGGUAACGGCUCACCAAGGCGACGAUCAGUAGCUGGUCUGAGAGGAUGAUCAGCCACACUGGGACUGAGACACGGCCCAGACCCCUACGAGGCAGCAGUGGGGAAUAUUGGACAAGGGGGGCAAGCCUGAUCCAGCCAUGCCGGGGGAGGGAUGAAGGCUUUAGGGUUGUAAAGCUUUUUUUGCCGGGACGAUAAUGACGGAACCGGAGGAAUAAGCCCCGGCUAACUUCGU